CAGCCGCCGCGGUAAUACGUAGGGUGCGAGCGUUAAUCGGAAUUACUGGGCGUAAAGCGAGCGCAGGCGGUUAGAUAAGUCUGAAGUUAAAGGCUGUGGCUUAACCAUAGUACGCUUUGGAAACUGUCUAACUUGAGUGCAAGAGGGGAGAGUGGAAUUCCAUGUGUAGCGGUGAAAUGCGUAGAUAUAUGGAGGAACACCGGUGGCGAAAGCGGCUCUCUGGCUUGUAACUGACGCUAAGGCUCGAAAGCGUGGGGAGCAAACAGGAUUAGAUACCCCGGUAGUCCCUGUCUCUUAUACA
rnacentral:rRNA from 1 species